UACGUAGGUGGCAAGCGUUGUCCGGAUUUACUGGGCGUAAAGCGUGCGUAGACGGUUAUUUAAGUCGGAUGUGAAAGCCCCGGGCUCAACCUGGGAAUUGCAUUCGAGACUGAAUAGCUAGGGUGCGGUAGAGGGAAGCGGAAUUUCCGGUGUAGCGGUGAAAUGCGUAGAUAUCGGAAGGAACAUCAGUGGCGAAAGCGGCUUCCUGGACCAGCACCGACGUUCAGGCACGAAAGCGUGGGGAGCAAACAGG
rnacentral:rRNA from 1 species